rnacentral:rRNA from 1 species
GAGUUUCUGACCUAUCAACUCGAGACGGCGGGGUAGAGGCCCGCCGCGGUAACGACGGGUAACGGGGAAUCAGGGUUCGAUUCCGGAGAGGGAGCCCGAGAAAACGGCUACCACUUCCAAGGAAGGCAGCAGGCGCGCAACUUACCCUAAUCUCGAUUCGAGGAGGUAGUGACAAGAAAUACCGAUGCGGGACCCUACGGGUGCCGCGUUCGGAAUGAGUACGAUUCGAACCACCUAACGAGGAACGAUCGGAGGGCAAGUCUGGUGCCAGCAGCCGCGGUAAUUCCAGCUCCAAUAGCGUACGUUAAAAGUUGCUGCAGUUAAAAAGCUCGUAGUUGAACGUUCGGGUUCCGCGGACGGGGCCGCCCCGCGAGGGACGGCGCCGCCCCGGGGCUCGUGAUAUCUUAUCUCGCCGCCCGUCGCGAGGCGGACGGAGGGAUGGAUGAGGUUACCUGGAAAAAAUCGGGGCGAUCUAGGCGGGCGAACCUCGCCAACGAACGAUCGGACAUGGGAUAACGGAAGAGGGCGUCGGCUCGACUUCGUCGGUUCCUCGGGCCGAGGCACGUACGGUGAAUAGGGACGGUCGGGGCCGGCCCGG